rnacentral:rRNA from 1 species
GCAGCGGGGGAGAGCUUGCUUUCCUGCCGGCGAGUGGCGAACGGGUGAGUAAUACAUCGGAACGUGCCCUGUAGUGGGGGAUAACUAGUCGAAAAAUUACCUAAUACCGCAUACGACCUGUGGGUGAAGGUGUGGGACUUUAAGGCCUCAUGCUAUACUAACGGCCGAUGUCUGAUUACCUUAUUGGUGUGGUUAAGGUCUACCCUCGCCACGAUUGCUAUGUGGUCUGAGAGGAAGAUCACCCCCACUGGGACUGACACUGGGACCAGACUCCUACUCCAAGCAGCAGUGGGAAAUUUUGAACUUUGUGCGAGAACCUGAUCCUGAACUGCCCCGUGUGUGAGGAAGAUCUUCGCCUUCUAAAACACUUUUGUCCUUAAAGAAAUG